rnacentral:rRNA from 1 species
UUGCCUACGGGACGCCGCAGUGUGGCUUAUUGGCGUUUUGGCGUACGCCUGAACCAGCCAAGUCGCGUGAGGGAAGACUGCCCUAUGGGUUGUAAACCUCUUUUGUCAGGGAGCAAUUGGCGCUACGUGUAGCGUUAUCGAGAGUACCUGAAGAAAAAGCAUCGGCUAACUCCGUGCCAGCAGCCGCGGUAAUACGGAGGAUGCGAGCGUUAUCCGGAUUUAUUGGGUUUAAAGGGUGCGUAGGCGGAAUGCCAAGUCAGCGGUAAAAUCGCGGGGCUCAACCUCGCUCCGCCG